rnacentral:lncRNA from 1 species
CCUAAUAGUUUAGACUUUUAUCUUUAGACUCCAACCUUCCCUUAAGUUUCAUACUAACAUUUAGGUUCUAUAUUUUUUUUUUGAAAUGCUAUAAUUAAAAAAGAUAAAAUUCAAAAUAAAGUUUCUUAAAUCUAUUCUCUUUAAAUUAAUCUAUUUAACCAUUCUAACAUACACCAAGACUUAUGAACAUAUUAUAUGUUCUAACUAAUUUUUAUAUACUAUAAGUAAUUACAGUAUAAUAGCAGUGUCGUAAUACGUGAAAUCUUGCUUGAGAAUGCUCUAAGCACCUGACUAUGGAAGGAAGAAUAGAAAUUGCAAUAACAAAAUCCUAAUUCUAAUGGAAUACUAAAAAUGCUCUAAUUGGACCACAAUAAUGCUAAACAAGCUUAAUCAAAUUCAAAGAAACUUCAAAGAAAUUUCAAACAAACAAUAAGAAUUCUUAAAGAAAUAUUAAAAGGAUCACAAAUAUCACUCAAAUACAUCUCAAUUCAAUCUUAAUUUAAUCCUAGUUAAAAUCCUAUUGGACUUCAUUCAAACUUUAGGCCAAAAUUAAUUAAAUCUUAAAUCCUAAAAAAUCCUAAUAAAAUCCUAAACCAAACUCUAAUCAAAUCCUAAACCCAAACCCUAAAUCCUAAACCAAAUCCUAAAUCAAAUCCUAACCAAAUCCUAAACUAAAUCCUAAAUCCUAAAUUAAAUCUUAAACAAAUCCUAAACCAAAUCCUAAAUCCUAAAUCAAAUCCUAACUAAAUCCUAACCAAAUCCUAAUUUAAAUCCUAAAUCCUAAAUCAAAUCCUAAAUCAAAUCCUAACCAAAUCUUAAAUAAAUCCUAAAUCCUAAAUCCUAAAUCAAAUCCUAAACCCUAAACCAAACCCUAUCCAAAUCCUAAACCAAAUCCUAAUCCUAAACCAAUUCCUAACCAAACCCUAGUAAUUCCUACAACAGAUUUAAACCUCAAUAACUAAUGAAUAAACCAUCGAUCU